UACGGGGGGAGCAAGCGUUGUUCGGAUUUACUGGGCGUAAAGGGUGCGUAGGCGGCGCGGUAAGUCGGGUGUGAAAUCUUGGAGCUUAACUCCGAAACUGCAUUCGAUACUGCCGUGCUUGAGGACUGGAGAGGAGACUGGAAUUUACGGUGUAGAGGUGAAAUUCGUAGAUAUUGGGAAGAACACCGGUGGCGAAGGCGGCUAUCUGGACUGUGAUUGACGCUGAGGCGCGAAAGCGUGGGGAGCAAACAGG
rnacentral:rRNA from 1 species